AACGAACGCUGGCGGCAGGCUUAACACAUGCAAGUCGAGCGCCCCGCAAGGGGAGCGGCAGACGGGUGAGUAACGCGUGGGAAUCUACCCAUCCCUACGGAAUAGCUCCGGGAAACUGGAAUUAAUACCGUAUACGCCCUACGGGGGAAAGAUUUAUCGGGGAUGGAUGAGCCCGCGUUGGAUUAGCUAGUUGGUGGGGUAAAGGCCUACCAAGGCGACGAUCCAUAGCUGGUCUGAGAGGAUGAUCAGCCACAUUGGGACUGAGACACGGCCCAAACUCCUACGGGAGGCAGCAGUGGGUAAUAUGGGACAAUGGGGGCAACCCUGCUCCGGCCAUGCCGCGUGAGUGAUGAAGGCCUUAGGGUUGUAAAGCUCUUUCACCGGGGAAGAUAAUGACGGUACCCGGAGAAGAAGCCCCGGCUAACUUCGUGCCAGCCGCCGCCGUAACAC
rnacentral:rRNA from 1 species